CGGACGGGUGAGUAACGCGUGGGUAACCUGCCUCAUACAGGGGGAUAACAGUUAGAAAUGACUGCUAAUACCGCAUAAGCGCACAGUGCUGCAUGGCACAGUGUGAAAAACUCCGGUGGUAUGAGAUGGACCCGCGUCUGAUUAGCUAGUUGGUGGGGUAACGGCCUACCAAGGCGACGAUCAGUAGCCGGCCUGAGAGGGUGAACGGCCACAUUGGGACUGAGACACGGCCCAAACUCCUACGGGAGGCAGCAUG
rnacentral:rRNA from 1 species